GAUAUCUUAGUGAGUAUUUAAUAAAAUUCAAUGAAACUCGGUACACUCAGUGGGUGCACCCAUAUAAAUAUUUUUGGAAGGUCAUAUGGUUGUCAUGGCAACACACUAGUCCCCAGUCUCUUCUUUUCUAUUUCACAAAUUUCCUCCUGUAGACCUCUUGCAGAGGAUGUUAGCAUGUUAUAACGGUUUAAACUGAUCACAAUACCUACACGUAUUAUAGUAAUAAGCGACAAUUGCAGAAAUUACUAUUUAUUUCGUUGGAAAUGGAUCAUAUAGAAAUUGGAAGAGAAGGGACUGGGGACGAGUGUGUUGCCAUAACAACCAUAUAAACAAGCCAAAGUGUUCACUUCAUCGCAUCCCCUAAGUGUGCCAAGUUUAAUUUAAUUUUAUUAAAUGACCAUCAAGAUAUUAGAUUUUCUUGUUAUUGCCACUGUUCUGAGUCAAACUAGUGACGUCACAACUCAAAAUAUUAAAAGUGGGAUA